GGUUUGGUAGUUCAGUUGGCGGAACGUUUGCUUUACACGCAAAAGGUCGUCGGUUCAAGGCCGGCCCAAAUCA
rnacentral:tRNA from 1 species